AUGGCGACCGGCGCACGGGUGAGUAACACGUAUCCAACCUGCCGAUGACUCGGGGAUAGCCUUUCGAAAGAAAGAUUAAUACCCGAUGGCAUAGUUCUUCCGCAUGGUAGAACUAUUAAAGAAUUUCGGUCAUCGAUGGGGAUGCGUUCCAUUAGGUUGUUGGCGGGGUAACGGCCCACCAAGCCUUCGAUGGAUAGGGGUUCUGGGAGGAAGGUCCCCCACAUUGGAACUGAGACACGGUCCAA
rnacentral:rRNA from 1 species